AAUAAACAUGCGGCAUAGAUCGAGCCCUGAAGCCCCUUAGGCCCUUAGGGGCUUCAGGGCUCGAUCUAUGCCGCAUGUUUAUUAGAAUAUCAC